ACAGCAGUCGCCACGGUAAUACAGAGGGUGCGAGCGUUAAUCGGAUUUACUGGGCGUAAAGCGUGCGUAGGCGGCUUUUUAAGUCGGAUGUGAAAUCCCUGAGCUUAACUUAGGAAUUGCAUUCGAUACUGGGAAGCUAGAGUAUGGGAGAGGAUGGUAGAAUUCCAGGUGUAGCGGUGAAAUGCGUAGAGAUCUGGAGGAAUACCGAUGGCGAAGGCAGCCAUCUGGCCUAAUACUGACGCUGAGGUACGAAAGCAUGGGGAGCAAACAGGAUUAGAUACCCCUGUAGUCCCUGUCUCUUAUAC
rnacentral:rRNA from 1 species